rnacentral:rRNA from 1 species
UACGUAGGGGGCGAGCGUUGUCCGAAGUUACUGGGCGUAAAGCGCGCGUAGGCGGGGAAUCAAGUGAGAAGUGAAGGGCUGGGGCUCAACCUCAUGCAGUGCUUCUCAUACUGGUUCUCUUGAGGGCGGUAGGGAGAAGUGGAAUGGCUAGUGUAGCGGUGAAAUGCGUAGAUAUCAGUCGGAACACCGGUGGCGAAGGCGGCUUCUGGGCCGGUACUGACGCUGAGGAGCGAAAGCGUGGGGAGCGAACAGG